GCACCUAUGGCCUAAUGGAUAAGGUGUUUGACUUCUAAUGAAGCGAAGCGAUUGUGGGUUCGAGUCCCAUUAGGUGUG
rnacentral:tRNA from 1 species